rnacentral:rRNA from 1 species
UACAGAGGUCUCAAGCGUUGUUCGGAUUCAUUGGGCGUAAAGGGUGCGUAGGCGGCGCGGUAAGUCGGGUGUGAAAAUCGUCGGAGCUUAACUCCGAACUGCAUUCGAUACUGCCGUGCUUGAGGACUGGAGAGGAGACUGGAAAUUUACGGUGUAGCGGUGAAAUGCGUAGAUAUCGUAAGGAAGACCAGUGGCGAAGGCGGGU